CUCUAAACCAGGCAUCUACAAAUAUCUUCAAGUCUUUUAGAGCAAGAACUUUCUGUAAGGAGGAGACCUAAAAUUGUGACACUAUCAAAACUGCUACAACCUGGAGUAAUACACCAAAAAGAAAAAUUGUUUCUUCUGUAGAUUUAUUUUCAGAUAUAAUGGACUUGCAUAGUACAUUUAAAGUGAAUUUCAGAUGAGAGGCUGUGGGCCAGGCAAAGGCUCCACCCAGCCCAGGUGGCCUUACAUCAGAGUAAAGUGGCAAACUGUCAUCUGGGUGCUCUUUGGAGUGACCGAGGACAGACAGGAAAGAUUUCUUUGGGUCUAAAAGAUCAGGAGGUCCAGGGUCCAUGUCCAGGUGGCCACCAGCAGCUCCAGGCUCAGAUCCCCCAGGGUGCACACCCAGCAGAAGGAGCUCUUCCUGAACAAUAGUUCCAGAGACUGAUUUUUCACCCGGCUGAUGGAAACAAACGGCCAAGCCUGCAUCGGUCACAGUACCAGCAGGACCACGCUCCCUCUGCCUGCCAGCCCUGGAGCUGGACUGCCCGGAGGAGGUGGAGAGGCGCGGCGGGGGAUCAAAGCACAGGGAGGCACGGGCGCGGGAGGGACACUGUGGCCAGAGGUAGGCGGAGGGAGUGACGGACAGGCUGAAACACCUGCCGCCUGUGAAACCAAACUAAGCCUGCUGGGUUCCUUCCGACGGGCAUCGGGGUCCCCGACCCACAGGCAAGAGACGAAUCCCAGUGGGGACAGUGAUGGAGGCGGCAGCAUGGGAGACAAAGACCCCUACCUGGACGAGGUUGUAUUAAUUCAGGUAACAUACUACUGUUACUGAAAUCAAAAUAGUGUCGCUACAAAUAAAGAACACGGUGAAUUUGAA